UAGCAGUGGGAGCUACCAUGCAGUCGAGCGGUACAUAUAGACUUGCUACUUUGCUGACGAGCGGCGGACGGGUGAGUAGUGCUUGGGAUGUGCCUUGGGGUGGGGGACAACUGUUGGAAACGACUGCUAAUACCGCAUAGUGUCUACGGACCAAGGGGGGCUUCGGCUCUCCCCUUUAUAUUGGCCCAAGUGGGAUUAUCUAUUUGGUGAGGUAGUGGCUCCCCAGGGCCACUAUCCCUAUCUGGUUUGAGAGGAUGAUCACCCACUCUGGGACUGACACACGGCCCACACUCCUACGGGAGGCAGCAGUGGGGAAUAUUGCACAGUGGGCGCAAGCCUGAUGCACCCGUGCCGCGUGUGUGAAGAAGGCCUUCGGGUUGUAAAGCACUUUCACUCGAGAAGAAGGGUUAAUAUUUAAUACCUGCUAUCUGUGACGUUACUGACAAAAGAAGCCCCGGCUAACUCCGUGCCAGCACCCGCGGUAAUACGGAGGGUGCGAGCGUUAAUCAAAAUUACUGGGCGUAAAGCGUACGCGGGCGUUUUGUUAAGCGAUAUGAGAAACCCCCGGUCUCCCCCUGGAAACUGUUUUUCAAACUGGCAAACUAGAGUGUGAUAGAGGGUGGUAAAAUUUCGUGUGUAGCGGAGAUGUGCGUAGAGAUCUGAAAGAAUACCGAUGGCGAACGCACCCCCGUGGCUCCACUCUGACUCUCAUGUACGAAAGCGUGGGGAGCAAACAAGAUUAUAUACCCUGGUACACA
rnacentral:rRNA from 1 species